UACGUAGGGCGCAAGCGUUGUCCGGAAUUAUUGGGCGUAAAGAGCUCGUAGGCGGUUUGUCGCGUCUGCCGUGAAACUCGGGGCUUACCCCGGCCUGCAGUGGGUACGGGCAGACUAGAGUGCGGUAGGGGAGACUGGAAUUCCCGGUGUAGUGGUGAAAUGCGUAGAUAUCGGGAGGAACACCAGUGGCGAAGGCGACUACCUGGCCUGUCUUGACGCUGAGGCGCGAAAGCCGUGGGGAGCAACAGGGAUUAAGAA
rnacentral:rRNA from 1 species